AUGUUCUUCAAAUCAAACACACAUCUCAUACUCCAAACUUCAGGCUCCACAACAAAUAGGAGUUAUAGACUACACCCAGGUAAUUCCAUAAGAACCAUAUCCACAGGCAAAUCCGCAGGAAACGAAAUCCGCAGGUUAUGGUUACAAUAUAACUUCAACCUAGAUCUCAAAUACUGUAUGUCUCAGACUUUCCACCUCCUCGACAACAGAGCUAUAUGUCUCUCCACUUGCAAUGUUCUGAUUCAUUGA